rnacentral:misc_RNA from 1 species
UAGCUGUGAAAGCUGAUGUGGAAAGUCAAGGAGAAUUUGUCGAGUCAUUGGCAACUGAAGUUCGUGCUGCUUCUUUUACCAAUAUUGAGGAUCUAGUGGCAUUUGUGAACUGGCUAGAUGAAGAACUCUCCUUUUUGGUUGACGAACGAGCUGUCCUCAAGCACUUCGACUGGCCUGAGGGAAAAGCGGAUGCGUUGAGAGAGGCUGCUUUCGAAUAUCAAGAUCUAAUGAAACUAGAAAAGCAAGUAACCACCUUUGUGGAUGACCCAAAUCUUCAAUGUGAUGCGGCUUUGAGAAAGAUGUACAGGUUGCUUGAAAAGGUUGAACAGAGUGUUUAUGCACUACUGCGUACUCGCGAUAUGGCUGCAUCACGAUACAGAGAAUUUGGUAUUCCUACUGAUUGGUUGCAAGAUUCAGGUGUUGUUGGCAAGAUAAAGCUUUCAUCAGUACAAUUGGCGAGGAAGUACAUGAAACGUGUAGCAUCAGAGCUUGAUGCCAUGGAUGGACCCGAGAAGGAACCAAACAGAGAAUUUUUGAUUCUACAAGGAGUUCGUUUUGCCUUCAGAGUUCAUCAGUUUGCUGGAGGAUUUG